rnacentral:lncRNA from 1 species
AUUUAUUAAUGGCUAUGAAGAUUGUUAUUUGUGAAAAAGACAGACUUACAAAUCUAUUGAGCUGGAAAAAACUGUAUCUUGGCAUGGCAGCUCAGAUAUGUCUAUGAGAUACAACAACAACAACAACUACACAGUAUAUUGUUGGUCUAUGCGAUUGCGUAGAGCUCUGAGAUACAACAACAACAACAACUACACAGUAUAUUGUUGGUCUAUGAGAUAAUGGAGAAAAUCCAUUUUUCGGGUGUUUUUUCCUGUCUCAUAAGGCUAACUUAUGCCUGCAGCCAUGGAAGUUUUUUCCAAAGCUUUUUGGAUUUUGUCUGAGAAAAGGCGAAUCUGAGCCUACCCCAUUGCUAUUGAUUUUGGUUUUUGGUUUUUGCUUUUUGCAUUUUUCUCUGCUACUUGUUGACAUAGGAAACAAUCCGAGCUCAUACCUCAAUUUAACUUUUGGUUCACUUUUGAUACUGUAACUCUUGGAGAAGCAUUGUGGAAAUAAUUCUUAGCUUGAAGGUAUUCAUUUCAGUCUAAAACUAGUUUGUUUUUCCAAAAUGUUCUGGAAUAAUUUCUCCAAUGUUUUCAGUAUCUGAAUUUUAGUAAUUGAACGAUUAAUGGUGAUGGUAGCAAAAAUAAUUGAUGUAUCUGAAUUUUAGUAAUUGAACGAUAAAUGGUGAUGGUAGC